GACGGAGGGGGCUAGCGUUGUUCGGAAUUACUGGGCGUAAAGGGCGCGUAGGCGGAUUAGUAAGUUGGGAGUGAAAGCCCGGGGCUUAACCUCGGAACUGCUUUCAAAACUGCUAGUCUUGAGUGAAGUAGGGGAUGAUGGAAUUCCUAGUGUAGAGGUGAAAUUCUUAGAUAUUAGGAGGAACACCGGUGGCGAAGGCGGUCAUCUGGACUUCAACUGACGCUGAGGCGCGAAAGCGUGGGGAGCAAACAGG
rnacentral:rRNA from 2 species